CCCAGGCCCGAAAGCCGGCCGCAGAGACCCCGACACUGCCAUUGGCAGGGCAUGUCGCUCAACGGAUA
rnacentral:rRNA from 13 species